rnacentral:ribozyme from 1 species
UGCCCAGCAACUCCUAUCCCUACCUCCUCGCGGUACUGGCCGGGGUACGAGUACCUUAGGGAAGAUCGGUUAAUCAACCCCGGUGGGAGCUUUGGUCGUAUGCUGGCAGGGUAGG